rnacentral:rRNA from 1 species
AGUUCUCGUUGAUGAUCGGUGCUUGCACCGAGAUUCAACAUGGAACGAGUGGCGGACGGGUGAGUAACACGUGGGUAACCUGCCCUUAAGUGGGGGAUAACAUUUGGAAACAGAUGCUAAUACCGCAUAGAUCCAAGAACCGCAUGGUUCUUGGCUGAAAGAUGGCGUAAGCUAUCGCUUUUGGAUGGACCCGCGGCGUAUUAGCUAGUUGGUGAGGUAACGGCUCACCAAGGCGAUGAUACGUAGCCGAACUGAGAGGUUGAUCGGCCACAUUGGGACUGAGACACGGCCCAAACUCCUACGGGAGGCAGCAGUAGGGAAUCUUCCACAAUGGACGCAAGUCUGAUGGAGCAACGCCGCGUGAGUGAAGAAGGCUUUCGGGUCGUAAAACUCUGUUGUUGGAGAAGAAUGGUCGGCAGAGUAACUGUUGUCGGCGUGACGGUAUCCAACCAGAAAGCCACGGCUAACUACGUGCCAGCAGCCGCGGUAAUACGUAGGUGGCAAGCGUUAUCCGGAUUUAUUGGGCGUAAAGCGAGCGCAGGCGGUUUUUUAAGUCUGAUGUGAAAGCCCUCGGCUUAACCGAGGAAGCGCAUCGGAAACUGGGAAACUUGAGUGCAGAAGAGGACAGUGGAACUCCAUGUGUAGCGGUGAAAUGCGUAGAUAUAUGGAAGAACACCAGUGGCGAAGGCGGCUGUCUGGUCUGUAACUGACGCUGAGGCUCGAAAGCAUGGGUAGCGAACAGGAUUAGAUACCCUGGUAGUCCAUGCCGUAAACGAUGAAUGCUAGGUGUUGGAGG